CAUGACAACAGAACAACAACCAUGACUUUUAUCGUGAGCUUUUUGUGGAUAUUGAUAUUCUUAAUUCAGAAAUCCAGAGGACAGAUCACUGUGACUCAGACUCCUACAAUGAAAACUGUUCUCCCAGAACAGACAGUUAUUAUAAACUGUAAAACCAGUACAAAUGUAGCAGAUGGUUGUCCUGGGGAUUACACCUGUAUGGCCUGGUACCAACAGAAACCUGGAGGAACUCCUAAACUCCUGAUGCACUCUUCAAACAGACUUCAGUCUGAGAUUCCAUCUAGAUUCAGUGGAAGUGGAUCUCAUAGUGACUUCACUCUGACCAUCAGUGGAGUCCAGGCUGAAGAUGCAGGAGAUUACUACUGUCAGAGUUUCCACUAUCCCAACAGUGUCAGCGUGUUCACACAGUGAUACAGAGCCAUACAAAAACCUCCCUCAGUCAGACUGCACAGUGACUGUACUGCUACAGCUGGGACCUACUGCAGGUGCUGAGGGGGAAGAGACAGUGACAUGGAACACUGACUGAACUAAAAUACACUGAGCUAAAUAUAUCAGUGAUGGUGACUAUAAUGUUAAUUUAUCCACCUUCAUGUGAAAUCAUUCCUGAACUGACAACACCCAUAGGUCCAGACUACAUAAAUAUGCCUUCCCUUUUGCUGUGGCUAACAAACCUUUUAUUUAACAUUUCAGACAAUAAGUUGAAUGGACUCUAUCUA